rnacentral:snRNA from 1 species
AUGUGUAAGAGGCCACUGGAAAACCAUGGCUUGGUCAUGAAGGUGGUUUUCCCAGGCUGAGGCUCAUCCAUUGCACUCUGGGUGUGCUGACCCCUGUGAUUUCCCACAAUGUGGGAAACUCAACUGCAUAAUGUAUGGUAGUGAGGGACCACAUUCGCACUCUCC